GGAAGGAUCAUUAACACAUUGUCCAUUUGAUGGUUGUUUACUAGUGUUUUUCUUGAGGAGAAGCUUGCUUCUCUUUCUUUUGAUUACCUAGUUUCAAUCAUUCAAACCAUUAGCAAAUCGUUGAAGUCCCCAAUCAAUAUUAUCAUUAACUUGAUUCUAUGAGUGGAAUUCAAAGUGUAAUCACGAUCAAUGCUUUCAUAUUUUAUGAUAUAAAUCUUUUACGAUUUUAUUAGACUAUAUGAAUAGUAUUCGACUGAUGUUUACAAAAAAACAUAAAAUAUAACCAAGACAACUUAUAACAGUGGAUACUUGGUUCCCAGGUCGAUGAAGAGCGCAGCGAACUGCGAUAAGUCAUGUGAAUUGCAGAAUUCCGUGAAUCAUCGAACUCUUGAACGCAAAUUGCACUUAGGUGUUGAGCCUUAGUGUGUCUGCUCGAGUGUCGGCAAUAAACCCUCACUUUCACAAGUGAUAUUGAGAGUUCACGUUUAUAGUGAUCUUUUUAAAAGAAUGGAGCUUGAUUCGUAAACUUCGGUUAAUCGAAAGGUUAAUAAAUGAUUACGACUUAAUAAGCCAAAGUAAAUUAAGUGUUUCAUACACUCAAAUCUUACUUUGCUUACGUAGUUAACUUUAUUUCUGAUUUGUAGAUUAAUAUUUCAAACGAUGAAUGGAAUCAUAAUAGUCUCCUUGUUUUGAAGCCUUUAUAUACAAAGGCCCCAUUCGAAACAAAUUCAAAUUAAACUCUCGACCUCGAAUUAGACAAGAUCACCCGGUGGACUUAAGCAUAUUAUUAACCGGAGGAAAAGAAACUAACAAGGAUGCCCUUAGUAACGGCGAGUGAAGCGGGCAGAGCUCAAAUUUAAAAUCUGGGGGCCUUAUGGUUCUCCGAAUUGUAGUUUUUGGAUCGUUAGUCACGGAGCUGCAAGUAUGGGGGUAAGUUCUUUGGAACAAGGCAUCAGAGAGGGUGAGAAUCCCGUAUGCGCCUCUACUUGUAGUUCAAUAGGUGUCUAGCUUUUCACGAGUCGGGUUGUUUGGGAUUGCAGCCCUAAAUAGGUGGUAGAUCUCAUCUAAAGCUAAAUAUUCCUGGGAGACCGAUAGCGAAGAAGUAGUGUGAACGAAAGGUGAAAAGAACUUUGAAAAGAAGGUGAAAAGUACUUGAAGCUGUUCUAAGGGAACCGUAUGGAAUCAGUGAUUGCUUGUAGGCAAUUCAGCAUGCUGUUUGCAAGUAGUGUUGGACACACGGAGGUGUACGCCCCGGAGUGCUGAGCUAUGAGUGAAGGGCGUGUGUACUUUGCUUGCGAGCGAGUCAACAUCAGUUUGGUUGGUGACGGAGAAAGGCGAAGGGAAGGUAGGUUAGCUCUUCGGAGUUGGCUGUUAUAGCCCUUUGUUGCAUACGUCACCCUGGACUGAGGAAGCAAAACGCAUGCCUCGGCGAGGUAGUUGGUGGACCCGUGAUCGUAAGUGUGUACGUCUGCUUGCAGGGUGCAUGCUUGAUGGUUACGGCAAAGCUAGCCCAUCGGUGCGUUAGGGAUGUUGACGAAAUGAUUUCAUAUGACCCGUCUUGAAACACGGACCAAGGAGUCUAACAUGUAUGCGAGUAUUUGGGUGGAAAACCCGAGUGCGCAACGAAAGUGAGAGAUGCGAGUUCGUAAUAGAAUGCAGCAUCGGCCGACUGUUUUAGGAACGGAUCGCGCCGGAGCACACAUGAUGGGACCCGAAAGAUGGUGAACUUUGCGUGCGCAGGGUGAAGCCAGAGGAAACUCUGGUGGAGGCUCGUAGAGAUUCUGACGUGCCAAAUCGAUCUUCGGACGUGCGUAAAGGGGCGAAAGACUAAUCGAACCAUCUAGUAGCUGGUUUACAC
rnacentral:misc_RNA from 1 species